GAUGAACGCUGGCGGCGUGCCUAAUACAUGCAAGUCGAGCGAACAGACGAGGAGCUUGCUCCUCUGACGUUAGCGGCGGACGGGUGAGUAACACGUGGAUAACCUACCUAUAAGACUGGGAUAGCUUCGGGAAACCGGAGCUAAUACCGGAUAAUAUAUUGAACCGCAUGGUUCAAUAGUGAAAGACGGUUUUGCUGUCACUUAUAGAUGGAUCCGCGCCGCAUUAGCUAGUUGGUAAGGUAACGGCUUACCAAGGCAACGAUGCGUAGCCGACCUGAGAGGGUGAUCGGCCACACUGGAACUGAGACACGGUCCAGACUCCUACGGGAGGCAGCAGCAGGGAAUCUUCCGCAAUGGGCGAAAGCCUGACGGAGCAACGCCGCGUGAGUGAUGAAGGUCUUCGGAUCGUAAAACUCUGUUAUUAGGGAAGAACAAAUGUGUAAGUAACUAUGCACGUCUUGACGGUACCUAAUCAGAAAGCCACGGCUAACUACGUG
rnacentral:rRNA from 1 species